UUUCCCAGCUGGCACUGAGGUGAAAAGGACCAGCACACCAACACCAUCACUUGACUGCAGGCUCCCUUUCCACCAGCACCCAAGCAGCAAGAACACACUCCUGCCAUUUUAAGAGCAUUCACGGGGCUGGGUUUGGGGACUUCUGCCAGAAAUAGACCCAGAAGCUGUUAUUUUGGCCACUCCCCUCAAAAAUUCCAGUUCUAAAAAAGCUGAGGACAUGUAAGAAAAAAUAAAACCCCAAGUGCUCUUGCUAAGUUAUCUGCUCAAAAUCACCCUCCCCAGGGUAUUUGGAAUUCAGACGAUGAUUUAUUAGCAGCUCUGCACAACGCAGCAAUCCCAUGAAGUAACCUACAAGGUGAGGAGCACCCACAUUAGCAGGUCAGCAUUAUUCGGGUACUAGUCGAGAGAGGCAAGACCUUCCAACAUGAGAAAUCCACUGUCCCUGUCCCUGCUUGCUUUUUCUCUUCCAUUACUCAGUUCCUUUAGCUCCAAGCUGUGGCUCCAGAUAUUCCCAGAGGAAUUAAAAGAGCCCUCGAUAUUAUAAAUACUCUUUUUUCAUUGUAAACACAGCCCAGCACUCGGGAGCGAACCUCCGGCGCUCUGACACGGCUCCAAACUGGUUCCAGAAACCACUCUGCUCCUCGCCACAUUCCAGCUGAGCUGUGGUUUCUCUUCCAACCCAGAGCUUUUGUCCAGCGAGACCCAACUGCGGGCAGAAAGGGUUUUGCUGUGUGCUUAAAACCUUGUUCUAGCGAGCUAAAAACCGAGGGCUUUGGGGCAGCAAAGGAGCACCAAAGCCUCGCUGCGAACCGCACGGACUGAAGCAUGAUCUGCCCAUGUCAGAGAAGAGAGUCACCAAAGAAACCAAACCAUGGCUUGGACUUUCCCACAUCAUGGAAGAGUCGAUGACUCCAGCAGUGGCCAACCCAGCCUCGGGGACACACCAGCUCUUCGCAUGUUAGGGAAGGGUGGGGGAAUGGCCAGGAAAGCAGUGAUUUAGGCUAUAUUUACUCAGCUGUCUCCAUUCUCUGCUCUCACAGAGAAAGUCACAGGGCCAGUUCCCCAGUGGCUCGAAGAGCUGCUCAGGAAAUAAAAGCCGUGCAUGAAUGGGGAGGAGACGCGGCCAUUCCUGUGCCGCGCUGGGCUUGGGUACCCGAAGGCACAAUGCUGGUGCCACUCCAGCUCUUGCACAGCUCAUUCUAGACAGGUUCCCGGUUUUAUUUCCCAUUGGAAACACCUCAGUUUGGGAGGUAUGUGACCACGGGAACCUUCC